rnacentral:rRNA from 1 species
CCUUCGGGUGAGCGGCGGACGGGUAGUACGCGUGGGAACGUGCCCUUCUCUGCGGAAUAGCCUCGGGAAACUGAGAGUAAUACCGCAUACGCCCUUCGGGGGAAAGAUUUAUCGGAGAAGGAUCGGCCCGCGUUAGAUUAGGUAGUUGGUGGGGUAAUGGCCUACCAAGCCUACGAUCUAUAGCUGGUUUGAGAGGAUGAUCAGCAACACUGGGACUGAGACACGGCCCAGACUCCUACGGGAGGCAGCAGUGGGGAAUCUUAGACAAUGGGGGAAACCCUGAUCUAGCCAUGCCGCGUGAGUGAUGAAGGCCUUAGGGUCGUAAAGCUCUUUCGCCAGGGAUGAUAAUGACAGUACCUGGAAAGAAACCCCGGCUACUCCGUGCCAGCAGCCGCGGUAUCCGGAGGGGGUUACCGUUGA